CAGAGUUCUUCGUAGGUAGAAAAAUUGCCGUAAUAUACAUAAAGCCGACACUUGUAGUCGUCUCGACGGUGGACGUCGGUGGAGAGGUAUGCCCGGGAGUACGUGUAUAUUUGCAUUUGUAUAUCGGUUUUAUCACCUUUUCAUCGGCGCGUUGCGAAACGCAGACUGCGAAUACCGGGGGGGGGGAUAUCGAGUUAGGUUGGAUUUUCCGAAUUGUAAUUACCAAUUUUGCGGGCACUUUGGAUCGCGAGGUGACGACGAUGCCGGUGCUCCUGCUUCGCGUAAUCCGGCGGUCCUCUGUA
rnacentral:misc_RNA from 1 species